rnacentral:rRNA from 1 species
AGAGUUUGAUCCUGGCUCAGGAUGAACGCUGACAGAAUGCUUAACACAUGCAAGUCUACUUGAAUUUGGGUUUUUUAACUUCGAUUUGGGUGGCGGACGGGUGAGUAACGCGUAAAGAACUUGCCUCACAGCUAGGGACAACAUUUGGAAACGAAUGCUAAUACCUGAUAUUAUGAUUUUAGGGCAUCCUAAGAUUAUGAAAGCUAUAUGCGCUGUGAGAGAGCUUUGCGUCCCAUUAGCUAGUUGGAGAGGUAACGGCUCACCAAGGCGAUGAUGGGUAGCCGGCCUGAGAGGGUGAACGGCCACAAGGGGACUGAGACACGGCCCUUACUCCUACGGGAGGCAGCAGUGGGGAAUAUUGGACAAUGGACCAAAAGUCUGAUCCAGCAAUUCUGUGUGCACGAUGACGUUUUUCGGAAUGUAAAGUGCUUUCAGUUGGGAAGAAAAAAAUGACGGUACCAACAGAAGAAGUGACGGCUAAAUACGUGCCAGCAGCCGCGGUAAUACGUAUGUCACAAGCGUUAUCCGGAUUUAUUGGGCGUAAAGCGCGUCUAGGUGGUUAUGUAAGUCUGAUGUGAAAAUGCAGGGCUCAACUCUGUAUUGCGUUGGAAACUGUGUAACUAGAGUACUGGAGAGGUAAGCGGAACUACAAGUGUAGAGGUGAAAUUCGUAGAUAUUUGUAGGAAUGCCGAUGGGGAAGCCAGCUUACUGGACAGAUACUGACGCUGAAGCGCGAAAGCGUGGGUAGCAAACAGGAUUAGAUACCCUGGUAGUCCACGCC